rnacentral:snRNA from 1 species
UUUUGCGGCAGCCCGGACGUCCGAUGAGAAGCAUUCUCGGAACUAUUCUUUCGCCUUUUACUAAAGAAUACCGUGUGCGCGCCAGAAAUAGCAGCAUACUCUUGUUUUUGGAGGGUGUUUUCUCUUUUUGAGAAAAC